rnacentral:rRNA from 1 species
GACGAACGCUGGCGGCGCGCCUAACACAUGCAAGUCGAACGGAGUUGUGUUGAAAGCUUGCUGGAUAUACAACUUAGUGGCGGACGGGUGAGUAACACGUGAGUAACCUGCCUCUCAGAGUGGAAUAACGUUUGGAAACAGGUGCUAAUACCGGAUAAUAAAGCAGAUCGCAUGAUCAGCUUUUGAAAGGCGGCGUAAGCUGUCGCUAAGGGAUGGCCCCGCGGUGCAUUAGCUAGUUGGUAAGGUAACGGCUUACCAAGGCGACGAUGCAUAGCCGAGUUGAGAGACUGAUCGGCCACAUUGGGACUGAGACACGGCCCAA